GGAGUUGUGGCUCAGUGGUAGAGCGCUUGCCUAGCAUGUGCAAGGCCCUGGGUUCAAUCCUCAGCACCA
rnacentral:tRNA from 1 species